rnacentral:rRNA from 1 species
AUUGAACGCUGGCGGCAGGCCUAACACAUGCAAGUCGAACGAGUGGCGGACGGGUGAGUAAUGUCUGGGAACCUGCCCGAUGGAGGGGGAUAACUACUGGAAACGGUAGCUAAUACCGCAUACCAUCGGAUGUGCCCAGAGGGGAUUAGCUAGGCGGGGGGGUAAUGGCUCACCUAGGCGACGAUCCCUAGCUGGUCUGAGAGGCUGACCAGCCACACUGGAACUGAGACACGGUCCAGACUCCUACGGGAGGCAACAGUGGGGAAUAUUGCACAAUGGGCGCAAGCCUGAUGCAGCCAGGCCGCGUGAAUGAAGAAGGCCUUCGGGUUGUAAAGUACUGUCAGCGGGGAGGCGUUACCCGCAGAAGAAGCACCGGCUAACUCCGUGCCAGCAGCCGCGGUAAUAC